UGGACCAAUGAUGACACUGGUGAUGGAUAAGUCGUGGACGAUGAAUAAUGCAUGUCUGGAUAUCUGAGGUCCAU
ensembl:snoRNA